CCUACGGGUGGCAGCAGUGAGGAAUAUUGGUCAAUGGACGAGAGUCUGAACCAGCCAAGUCGCGUGAAGGAUGACUGCCCCAUGGGUUGUAAACUUCUUUUAUAUGGGAAUAAAAUGUUCCACGUGUGGGUUUUUGUAUGUACCAUAUGAAAAAGGAUCGGCUAACUCCGUGCCAGCAGCCGCGGUAAUACGGAGGAUUCGAGCGUUAUCCGGAUUUAUUGGGUUUAAAGGGUGCGUAGGUGGAUUGUUAAGUCAGUUGUGAAAGUUUGCGGCUCAACCGUAAGAUUGCAGUUGAAACUGGCAGUCUUGAGAACUGUAGAGGUGGGCGGAAUGCGUGGUGUAGCGGUGAAAUGCUUAGAUAUCGCGAAGAACUCCGAUUGCGAAGGCAGUACACCGGACUGCAACUGACGCUGAGGCUCGAAAGUGUGGGUAUCGAACAGGAUUAGAUACCCCAGUAGUC
rnacentral:rRNA from 1 species